rnacentral:rRNA from 1 species
CGGGUGAGUAACACGUGGGUAACCUGCCUGUAAGACUGGGAUAACUCCGGGAAACCGGAGCUAAUACCGGAUAGUUCCUUGAACCGCAUGGUUCAAGGAUGAAAGACGGUUUCGGCUGUCACUUACAGAUGGACCCGCGGCGCAUUAGCUAGUUGGUGGGGUAAUGGCUCACCAAGGCGACGAUGCGUAGCCGACCUGAGAGGGUGAUCGGCCACACUGGGACUGAGACACGGCCCAGACUCCUACGGGAGGCAGCAGUAGGGAAUCUUCCGCAAUGGACGAAAGUCUGACGGAGCAACGCCGCGUGAGUGAUGAAGGUUUUCGGAUCGUAAAGCUCUGUUGUUAGGGAAGAACAAGUGCGAGAGUAACUGCUCGCACCUUGACGGUACCUAACCAGAAAGCCACGGCUAACUACGUGCCAGCAGC